rnacentral:rRNA from 1 species
CCCGCUGAACUUAAGCAUAUUACUAAGCGGAGGAAAAGAAAUUAACAAAGAUUGCCUUAGUAAGGGCGACUGAACCGGCAAAAGCUCGAAAUUAGAAUCUGGAGUUCAAAGAACUCUCGAAUUGUAAUUAGGGACCCUUAAAUACGACUGCGGACUCAAAUGCAUCGAAAGGCAUCCCAAAGAGGGUGAAAGGCCCGUGAGGUUCGCAGGCGGCAAAGGGGACUGAAUAAGAGUCGGGUUGUUUGGAACUGCAGCCCUAAGCGGGAGAUAUGAGUCUUCCAAAGCUAAAUAGGAAUGGGAGGCCGAUAGUGCACAAGUACUGUGAAGGAAAGAUGAAAAGGACUUUGAAAAGGGAGUGAAAAGAUCUGAAAUCGUUAAGAAGGAAGCGUAACAAACGGACGGAAUGAAGAUGGGGUACGCAGGAAACUGCGGAAAUCCUUCGUAAUUCGGGCAAAAUGAAGUCGGACGAGACAAAAAAGGCGAAAGCUGGAAACGUCACGUUCGGCUUGAGGGGCCAAGGCGAUUUUGCCACAAUCGUUUGUUAUGUCCCGUCUUGAAACACGG